rnacentral:lncRNA from 1 species
GUCCUCGGCUGGGCCUCGCCGGGGUCGCCUUCCUCGCGCGCUCUGGUAAUUGAUCCCGCUGAACCAGACGAGCUUAGAGGCUGCGCUUCCCUGGGGACCGAGGGACCGGGAGGGGAGUCGGCUGGGUGGAGCUGGUUAACUUUAAGAAAGGGUGCAGGGCAUUCCUCGGCACCUCGGGGCGGCCC